rnacentral:rRNA from 1 species
GACGAACGCUGGCGGCGUGCUUAACACAUGCAAGUCGAACGGAAAGGCCCUGCUUUUGUGGGGUGCUCGAGUGGCGAACGGGUGAGUAACACGUGAAUAACCUGCCCUUGACUUUGGGAUAACUUCAGGAAACUGGGGCUAAUACCGGAUAGGAGCUCCUGCUGCAUGGUGGGGGUUGGAAAGUUUCGGCGGUUGGGGAUGGACUCGCGGCUUAUCAGCUUGUUGGUGGGGUAGUGGCUUACCAAGGCUUUGACGGGUAGCCGGCCUGAGAGGGUGACCGGCCACAUUGGGACUGAGAUACGGCCCAGACUCCUACGGGAGGCAGCAGUGGGGAAUAUUGCACAAUGGGCGGAAGCCUGAUGCAGCAACGCCGCGUGCGGGAUGACGGCCUUCGGGUUGUAAACCGCUUUCGCCUGUGACGAAGCGUGAGUGGCGGUAAUGGGUAAAGAAGCACCGGCUAACUACGUG